rnacentral:piRNA from 1 species
UGUCCGAUGAGCAAACCUAUUGUACAUAUGGU